rnacentral:rRNA from 1 species
UACGUAGGGGGCAAGCGUUGUCCGGAUUUAUUGGGCGUAAAGAGCGUGUAGGCGGCCAGGUAGGUCAGCUGUGAAAACUCGAGGCUCAACCCUGGAAUGCCGGUGGAAACUGUCGGGCUGGAGUCCGGAAGAGGCGAGUGGAAUUCCUGGUGUAGCGGUGAAAUGCGCAGAUAUCAGGAGGAACACCAAUGGCGAAGGCAGCUCGCUGGGACGGUACUGACGCUGAGACGCGAAAGCGUGGGGAGCAAACAGG